rnacentral:lncRNA from 1 species
AAGCAGAUUUUCCCCCAGAGCAUCCAGAUAAGAACUCAGUCCACUCAACAUCUUCAGCUUUGUGAUAUUCCAGGCAUAUUGUGCUGAACUUCUGACUUACAGAACUAGUCAGUCCUGAAAGGAUUAUAAAAGCAAGAAAGAAACAUGGACUCUAAGAAUUAACAACAGUGUGGGAAGCCACGGAGGAGAUUUAUGACUACCCUAAAUUGGUUUGUGUUUGGAUGGAUGACUAUUUCCUGCUCUUUAUUACUAGAAAUUGGCAGCAACAUCUCAGAUUGGAUAAUGGUACUGGUGGAAUAAUUACCAGAAAGAAAAAAACAUCCCCACUAAAGUGAUGAAAACAUGUACAGAUUGUCCAACCUUUUGCUUUUGUACCACUUCCCCUUCCAGAUGUCAGGGUUGUGAUUUAUUUCUCCCUAAGAGUUUAAAAAUAAAACUCUCAUCAUAAAAUUUGCCUGAUACUGAUGAAAAAUAAGAUGUAGUAAUUUAGGCUUUCAGACUAGACUCAGAAAUAGAAUCCAUUAAUAUUUUUUUACUAGGGAUCCAUUUAAAAACAUCUAAACAUGAUGAAAAUGAAAGAAUGGAGAGAAAUAUGCCAGGUAAAUAUAAACUUAAAAGAAAGCUGGGGAAACUAUCAAUAUCUGACAAAAAUAGAUUUUCAUGUAAAAAAAUGUGGCACACAUACACCAUGGAAUACUAUGCAGCCAUAAAAAAGGAUGAGUUCAUGUCCUUUGUAGGGACAUGGAUGAAGCUGGAAACCAUCAUUCUCAGCAAACUAUUGCAAGGACAAAAAAACAUACACCACAUGUUCUCACUCACAGGUGGGAAUUGAACAAUGAGAACACAUGGACACAGGAAGGGGA